rnacentral:rRNA from 1 species
GCGUACACAUGCAAGUCGAGCGGAUGAAGGGAGCUUGCUCCCUGAUUCAGCGGCGGACGGGUGAGUAAUGCCUAGGAAUCUGCCUGGUAGUGGGGGACAACGUUUCGAAAGGAACGCUAAUACCGCAUACGUCCUACGGGAGAAAGCAGGGGACCUUCGGGCCUUGCGCUAUCAGAUGAGCCUAGGUCGGAUUAGCUAGUUGGUGAGGUAAUGGCUCACCAAGGCGACGAUCCGUAACUGGUCUGAGAGGAUGAUCAGUCACACUGGAACUGAGACACGGUCCA